rnacentral:rRNA from 1 species
CCUACGGGAGGCAGCAGUGGGGAAGUAUUGGACAAUGGGCGAAAGCCUGAUCCAGCAAUUCCGCGUGUGUGAAGAAGGCCUUCGGGUUGUAAAGCACUUUAGUGGGGGAAGAAACAGCUUGGCCACACCAAGCCUUGACGGUACCCCAAGAAUAAGCACCGGCUAACUCUGUGCCAGCAGCCGCGGUAAUACAGAGGGUGCAAGCGUUAAUCGGAUUUACUGGGCGUAAAGGGUGCGUAGGUGGCUAUUUAAGUCGGAUGUGAAAGCCCGGGGCUCAACCUCGGAAUUGCAUUCGAUACUGAGUGGCUAGAGUUCGGUAGAGGGCGGCGGAAUUUCCGGUGUAGCGGUGAAAUGCGUAGAUAUCGGAAGGAACAUCAAUGGCGAAGGCAGCCGCCUGGGCCUGGACUGACACUGAGGCACGAAAGCGUGGGUAGCAAACAGGAUUAGAUACCCUGGUAGUCCACGCCGUAAACGAUGAGAACUUGACGUUGGUUCGUUUUACGAAUCGGUGUCGCNGNUACGACGAUAAGUUACUCCGUCCGUCGGGUAGGUACGGCCGCGACGGUUAGUAACGUACGAACGGAAAGUUAGUACGGCGUGAGACGUGCGACGGACGACGACGAGGGAGGUAGG